rnacentral:rRNA from 1 species
AGAGUUUGAUCCUGGCUCAGGACGAACGCUGGCGGCGCGCUUAACACAUGCAAGUCGAACGGGUUCGGGGCUUCGGCUCCGGAUCAGUGGCGAACGGGUGCGUAACACGUGAGCAACCUGCCCCUGUAUGGGGGAUAACCCUGGGAAACCGGGGCUAAUACCGCAUGCGCUCAUUGGGUCUCCUGGCCUUUUGAGGAAAGUCCCUGAAAGGGGAUGUGCAGGGAGGGGCUCGCGGCGUAUCAGCUAGUUGGCGGGGUAACGGCCCACCAAGGCAACGACGCGUAGCCGGUCUGAGAGGACGACCGGCCACAUUGGGACUGAGAUACGGCCCAGACUCCUACGGGAGGCAGCAGUGGGGAAUCUUGCGCAAUGGGCGAAAGCCUGACGCAGCGACGCCGCGUGGGGGAGGAAGCUUUUCGGAGUGUAAACCCCUGUCAGGAGGGAAGAACGGUCUUGGGAGGAAAUGCCUGGGAUUUGACGGUACCUCCAGAGGAAGCACCGGCUAACUCUGUGCCAGCAGCCGCGGUAAUACAGAGGGUGCGAGCGUUGUUCGGAAUUACUGGGCGUAAAGCGCGCGCAGGCGGUCCUUUAAGUCUACCCGUGAAAUGCCGGAGCUCAACUCCGCGCACGCCGGGGGAUACUGGAGGACUGGAGACGAGUAGAGGCAAGCGGAAUUCCGGGUGUAGCGGUGGAAUGCGUAGAGAUCCGGAAGAACACCGGAGGCGAAGGCGGCUUGCUGGGCUUGGUCUGACGCUGAGGCGCGAAAGCGUGGGGAGCGAACAGGAUUAGAUACCCCGGUAGUCC